UGAAUGCUCCGUUUGGGGAGUGAAGCACUUCACGUGACGUCACAUUCCAGGGAAAACGCUCCCUUGGAGGGCAAAAAAGACGUUAUUUCCGCUGCAGGCAGCAAGUGACACACGGCUACUUUUUCGUUGCCAAAAUGCUGGAUGGUUGUUGUGCUUUCGGAUGCACUAGUUGUGGAGGAGACAAACCUGGGCUGUGUUAGGUGAUGGAUUCCCCACGAGUGCUCACUGAUGAGGAAGAGAAGAGCUGAAUGGUGGACCAAUCAGAGGGAAGCCGGUGAGGGACCGCCCCCCCCAGGACCGUUCCAUGACGUCAUCAACGAAGGUGGCGGUAAUGCGCGCAGAGAUGUUUCCAACCGGCACAAAAUGCUGCAAAUAGACGAAGAAGAAUGCUAACUGGACAAUCCACGUUGAAGUCGGUGGAGAGCAGGGCGGUGAUUUUAAGUUGUGAAAAUAAGAUGGACUCGGUCGUCCAGGUUCCUGUAAAAAGGAACCAGCGUUGAAAUCGAACAAUGAACAUUUGAGGCCGCAGCUCAGCGCAGAUACAUUGGAGGAGAUGACCUGACUCAUCACGGAGGAGCUCCCAUCCGGACUCACACAGACCUCCAUGUGGGGAGGGUCUAAAGCACAAAAUAUGGUGGAGGGCCUUGCCUCUGCCAAGCCACACGUGUCUAAAUGAAUGUUCAUGCAUCUCAUACUUCACUAACUUAAACGUGUGAGGAGCCAAAACAACCCUUGAAAUGCAGUUGUGGAUAUUGGUGGAGAAGCACAGUACUGCAGGCUCUGUCAUGUGGCUGGUGGUCACACUAGUCCAAACAGAUGGGACUGAUACGACGGACAGAGAGAGGCCCGAGGACGGUCAACUAGUGGCCACUUCUGAUGCAGGAACAUGAGAUAAAAUUGGCAAGUCCUUCCCUCCUGCUCCACAUGGAAAAGCAGCGUUAGACGUUCAAUGAUUGUUUAUACUUGAAAGAUGAUGUGAAUGUACUUCACUCUUCUGUUUAUAAUAAACCUGUAACUGUG